rnacentral:lncRNA from 1 species
AUGCACCCGCGGACAAGCCCAACUUAGUAUGCAGCAAGCAAAAGAAGAACAAAAGAAACACGCCGCUGCAGCUAGUGUCUUUCCCAAGUAGGGGAAGUAAGUGAUGGCAGUGGAACUUCUCUCUUUCUUCAGAAGAGAGUAGUUGGCAUGAAUUGAAGGGCAUCAAUGGUGGGUUGAGAGAAAAGAGAUGGGAAGGGUAAGGUAUGGGGUUCAGUCAGUAGUUGGGACGAGGUGUGGAGGUGCGGUUACUCUCUCCCUCCCUCUUUUUAUACGCAUAGUUGUAAGAGAAGCACAGGAAGAGAGAGAGAGAGAGAGCAGUGUGCAUAUACAUAGCUGUAAGAGAAGCACAGGAAGAGAGGUUGAAUUUCCAAAUUGAAAUGGCAACCAUUGCUGCGCGGUCCCUCUGCUUACUUCCAGUGUACAUAAUGGAAAUGCCAUAGCUAUUCUGUUCCCAUGUCCAUAAUAGCAUACUCGAAGGAUGUGACGUGUAUGUACAUUUAUACGUUCAUAGGCAUACGUUAAUCAGGGAAGAAGAGCAGGAGCAGGGCAGCGUGGCACGAAUAGCGCCACAUAUUAUGUAAUCUAGACGCGAGCUUCGCCCCAACAAGGGAGUCGUGUGGACGGUAAGUAGCGGGUAAUGGCGCAUCAUCAUCGUUAUGGGGCGGAUGUGUCACGCACCACCCAAUUAAUGAUGGUGAUGGUGGGUGCACAUCGCCUGGGUGAUGAUGACGGCGAGAUGUAGGCAGAUGCGAACCAUGUAGCUUUGGGUGUAUCGCCAUGGUUGAACUGGCCCAUUUCGAUCUGACUCCCAAUGGUGGUACCUCCGAGUCCCACAUCUUUCCACCGAUAAGAAGAUAGUGUGCCCUGGUAGGUGCCUCCGCCGUGACAGACGGUUGUUUUCCUGGAUUCGUUUGAUGCAGGGUCGGACGGUUAAAUUCAAGAUGAUGUAUUGACCAACAAUCAGGUUACGAUGAUCUCAUCACCGUUCGAUAUGAAAUCAAUUGUUUGAUGCUCAAGAUCAUUCACAUUUAUCUCAUUUAUCUUGUGAUGGACCAACUAUAUGUAUCGGAUGGAGACGUGGUGGAACCAAUAUAUAUACUCGACUCGUAUCUUGUUAUUGUUGCAUCGUGAUGCGCUCGAAACAUCUCUUUCAUCGCUAAGUCGUGUUCGAGGUCAGGUAGCGAU